rnacentral:rRNA from 1 species
UGGGGAAUAUUGCACAAUGGGCGCAAGCCUGAUGCAGCCAUGCCGCGUGUGUGAAGAAGGCCUUCGGGUUGUAAAGCACUUUCAGCGGGGAGGAAGGCGAUAAGGUUAAUAACCUCAUCGAUUGACGUUACCCGCAGAAGAAGCACCGGCUAACUCCGUGCCAGCAGCCGCGGUAAUACGGAGGGUGCAAGCGUUAAUCGGAAUUACUGGGCGUAAAGCGCACGCAGGCGGUCGGUCAAGUCGGAUGUGAAAUCCCCGGGCUCAACCUGGGAACUGCGUUCGAAACUGGCAGGCUAGAGUCUUGUAGAGGAGGGUAGAAUUCCAUCUGUAGCGGUGAAAUGCGUAGAGAUGUGGCGGAAUACCGGUGGCGAAGGCGGCCCCCUGGACACAGACUGACGCUCAUGUGCGAAAGCGUGGUGAGCAAACAGG